CACAGGGAAUUUCACCAGAAACCUGGUGACGGUGGGCAUAUUAGUCAGUAGAUUAUUGUAAAACCCAAAAAUACACCAGACAUAACAUUCCUCAGACAAAAUAAUCAUUCAUUGCCUGCUAGGGAACAUCCUGGAAACUUUAUUUGCUAGUGACAAACAGAUAUACUUAUUAAAUCAGAAUAUAGACAAUUCAAGGUUCAGUUUAAAUUGUAAGUAAGAUAACUGGUUACAGGAAAAUAUCUGCAUCACAAUACCAACUCUCAGACAAAGUGCAUUCCACAUUUAGCACAUGGCCACAUGCAGUACAAAGAGGGAGUGACAAAAGCCAAGAGACCAGUAACAUUGCCCAGCAUAAAUUUUCAAUCUGCCUAAUCUGAUACAAUGUCAUCUAAUUUUACCAAAACAUCAGAAGGCCAUAUACAGUGCAAAUCUAGAAAUAUGAAUUGCACAGCCAGUUCAUGAUGCACAAAAAAGGCAUGUUAUGGGACCCAUCUCCUUACCGGCUGCCCAUU
rnacentral:misc_RNA from 1 species